rnacentral:rRNA from 1 species
GAUGAACGCUGGCGGCGUGCCUAAUACAUGCAAGUCGAGCGAACAGACGAGGAGCUUGCUCCUCUGACGUUAGCGGCGGACGGGUGAGUAACACGUGGAUAACCUACCUAUAAGACUGGGAUAACUUCGGGAAACCGGAGCUAAUACCGGAUAACAUGUUGAACCGCAUGGUUCAACAGUGAAAGACGGUCUUGCUGUCACUUAUAGAUGGAUCCGCGCCGCAUUAGCUAGUUGGUAAGGUAACGGCUUACCAAGGCAACGAUGCGUAGCCGACCUGAGAGGGUGAUCGGCCACACUGGAACUGAGACACGGUCCAGACUCCUACGGGAGGCAGCAGUAGGGAAUCUUCCGCAAUGGGCGAAAGCCUGACGGAGCAACGCCGCGUGAGUGAAGAAGGUCUUCGGAUCGUGAAACUCUGUUAUUAGGGAGGAACAAAUGUGUAAGUAACUAUGCACGUCUUGACGGUACCUAAUCAGAAAGCCACGGCUAACUACGUGCCAGCCGCCGCCGUAA